rnacentral:rRNA from 1 species
GAUGAACGCUGGCGGCGUGCUUAACACAUGCAAGUCGAACGGAAAGGCCCAAGCUUGCUUGGGUACUCGAGUGGCGAACGGGUGAGUAACACGUGGGUGAUCUGCCCUGCACUUCGGGAUAAGCCUGGGAAACUGGGUCUAAUACCGGAUAGGACCACGUCUUGGAUGGUGUGGUGGAAAGUUUUUUCGGUGUGGGAUGAGCUCGCGGCCUAUCAGCUUGUUGGUGGGGUAAUGGCCUACCAAGGCGUCGACGGGUAGCCGGCCUGCGAGGGUGUACGGCCACAUUGGGACUGAGAUGCGGCCCAGACUCCUACGGGAGGGAGCAGUGGGGAAUAUUGCACAAUGGGAGCAAGCCUGAGGCAGCGACGCCGCGUGGGGGAUGAGGGCCUUCGGGUUGUAAACUCCUCUCGCUAGGGACGAAGCGUUUUUGUGACGGUACCUGGAGAAGAAGCACCGGCUAACUACGUG